CGUCAGAUAGCUCAGUGGUCUAGAGCAGUCGCCCGGCAAGCGAAAGACUCGGGCUUCGAUUCCCGAUCUAGUGA
rnacentral:tRNA from 1 species